AGCUGCUGUUGCUAAGACAAUCAGGCAGACCCAGGCUGGCUCUCACCAAGUAUCUUUUUUACUUGUAUGGGCCCUCUGGCCCUCAAGCCCGUGAGGAAUGAGUCAUCCCACAGAAUAUAUUUUGAUCAUGUUUGUUUCUGCGCACCCCCUUUCUCUCAGAACCUCCUCACCUUCAUACCCACUUCACCGUGAUAUCUAUCUUGAAAGCUCCCAGCACUUGAGAGGCUCGUGUCUUUGAUCCCACCUCAUGAGGUGAAGACAGGAAUAUAAAGUGUGCGGAGCCAGGAUCUUGGGCCCUUUUCAGUCUGAUGAUCCGGAGAGCUUUUCCCUGUCACCUUCUGCAAGAUACUGUCUCAUAAAUGGGGAUGUUGAUAAUACAACAUGCUUCUGCACUCUUAUAAAAUAUAUACUGUGCUUUGUCAAG